CAGCGUUGUUCGGAAUCYUGGGCUUAAAGAGCAUGUAGGCGGCCCAGUAAGCGUCCUGUGAAAUCCCUCGGCUCAACCGAGGAAUUGCGUGGCAGAACUGCUGGGCUUGAGGCAGGUAGGGGCGUGUGGAACUCUUGGUGGAGCGGUGGAAUGCGUAAAUAUCAAGAGGAACGCCGGUGGCGAAGGCGACACGCUGGGCCUGUCCUGACGCUGAUAUGCGAAAGCUAGGGUAGCGAACGGGAUUAGAUACCCCGGUAGUCCUAUCCCUAAACGAUGUCAACUAKGUCGGAGGUUCUCUGAC
rnacentral:rRNA from 1 species